AUUCGAUGCAACGCGAAGAACCUUACCAGGUCUUGACAUUGAUGGACAGAACCAGAGAUGGUUCCUCUUCUUCGGAAGCCAGAAAACAGGUGGUGCACGGUUGUCGUCAGCUCGUGUCGUGAGAUGUUGGGUUAAGUCCCGCAACGAGCGCAACCCCUAUCUUAUGUUGCCAGCACUUCGGGUGGGAACUCAUGAGAGACUGCCGCAGACAAUGCGGAGGAAGGCGGGGAUGACGUCAAAUCAUCAUGCCCCUUAUGGCUUGGGCUACACACGUACUACAAUGGCUCUUAAUAGAGGGAAGCGAAGGAGCGAUCCGGAGCAAACCCCAAAAACAGAGUCUCAGUUCGGAUUGUAGGCUGCAACUCGCCUACAUGAAGCAGGAAUCGCUAGUAAUCGCAGGUCAGCAUACUGCGGUGAAUACGUUCCCGGGCCUAGUACAC
rnacentral:rRNA from 1 species